rnacentral:rRNA from 1 species
UACGUAGGGUGCGAGCGUUAAUCGGAAUUACUGGGCGUAAAGCGUGCGCAGGCGGCUUUGUAAGCCAGAUGUGAAAUCCCCGGGCUCAACCUGGGAAUGGCACUUGGGACUGCAAGGCUCGAGUGCGGCAGAGGAGACUGGAAUUCCUGGUGUAGCAGUGAAAUGCGUAGAUAUCAGGAGGAACACCGAUGGCGAAGGCAGGUCUCUGGGCUGACACUGACGCUCAGGCACGAAAGCGUGGGGAGCGAACAGG